rnacentral:rRNA from 1 species
GACGAACGCUGGCGGCGUGCCUAACACAUGCAAGUCGAACGGGACUCAGCCCUUCGGGACUGAGUUUAGUGGCGAACGGGUGAGUAACGCGUGAGGAACCUGCCUUUCAGUGGGGGACAACAGUUGGAAACGACUGCUAAUACCGCAUAAUGCUUUUUGAUGGCAUCAUUGAAAAGCCAAAGAUUUAUUGCUGAAAGAUGGCCUCGCGUCUGAUUAGCUAGUUGGUGGGGUAACGGCCCACCAAGGCGACGAUCAGUAGCCGGUCUGAGAGGAUGAACGGCCACAUUGGGACUGAGAUACGGCCCAGACUCCUACGGGAGGCAGCAGUGGGGAAUAUUGGGCAAUGGUGGAAACCCUGACCCAGCAACGCCGCGUGAAGGAAGAAGGCUUUCGGGUUGUAAACUUCUUUUAAGAGGGAAGAGCAGAAGACUGUACCUCUAGAAUAAGCCACGGCUAACUACGUG